CCCUUAGACGUUCUGGGCCGCACGCGCGCUACACUGACCAGUGCAACAAGCAUCCGUCCUUGGCCGACAGGCCCGGGCAAUCUUUGAACGCUGGUCGUGAUGGGGAUAGACUUUUGCAAUUUUUGGUCUUCAACGAGGAAUUCCUAGUAAACACAAGUCAUCAACUUGCAUUGAUUACGUCCCUGCCCUUUGUACACACCGCCCGUCGCACCUACCGAUUGAAUGGUCCGGUGAAGCCUCCGGAUUGGCGCGCACCCCGGUGCCGCCGAGAAGUUGGCUAAACCUUACCAUUUAGAGGAAGGUGAAGUCGUAACA
rnacentral:rRNA from 1 species